rnacentral:rRNA from 1 species
GUAGGUGGCAAGCGUUGUCCGGAUUUAUUGGGCGUAAAGGGAGCGCAGGCGGUCUUUUAAGUCUGAAUGUGAAAGCCCUCAGCUUAACUGAGGAAGAGCAUCGGAAACUGAGAGACUUGAGUGCAGAAGAGGAGAGUGGAACUCCAUGCGUAGCGGUGAAAUGCGUAGAUAUAUGGAAGAACACCAGUGGCGAAGGCGGCUCUCUGGUCUGUUACUGACGCUGAGGCUCGAAAGCAUGGGUAGCGAACAGGAUUAGAUACCCUGGUAGUCCAUGCCGUAAACGAUGAGUGCUAAGUGUUGGGAGGUUUCCGCCUCUCAGUGCUGCAGCUAACGCAUUAAGCACUCCGCCUGGGGAGUACGACCGCAAGGUUG